rnacentral:rRNA from 1 species
GAUGAACGCUGGCGGCGUGCUUAACACAUGCAAGUCGAACGGUGAAAGAGAGCUUGCUCUCUGGAUCAGUGGCGAACGGGUGAGUAACACGUGAGCAAUCUGCCCCUGACUCUGGGAUAAGCGCUGGAAACGGCGUCUAAUACCGGAUACGAGCUGCGAAGGCAUCUUCAGCAGCUGGAAAGAACUUCGGUCAGGGAUGAGCUCGCGGCCUAUCAGCUAGUUGGUGAGGUAACGGCUCACCAAGGCGUCGACGGGUAGCCGGCCUGAGAGGGUGACCGGCCACACUGGGACUGAGACACGGCCCAGACUCCUACGGGAGGCGGCAGUGGGGAAUAUUGCACAAUGGGCGAAAGCCUGAUGCAGCAACGCCGCGUGAGGGACGACGGCCUUCGGGUUGUAAACCUCUUUUAGCAGGGAAGAAGCGAAAGUGACGGUACCUGCAGAAAAAGCACCGGCUAACUACGUG